GUGUGCUAUAUGACCGGGACAUUUGUUCAAUGCUUGGUGGUGGCCUCUUUGCAGUGGGAGUCUCUCCGUAAGCAAUUGGAGGAAAUUGCCCUUGCCAGGCUCCGACUCUUCAAAGCUCAGCUCUAUGAGUAUGUGCAAGCACAACUCCAAGCAGGAAGGAUUGCAAAAUGUGUUGUGGGUGGAGUCUCUGGAUCAUCGAGCAAGCGGCGGGGAAGAAAGAAAGGUGGCUGCGCCGGAGGAGGAGGUGGAGGAACGUAUGCGCUCGGGCAGAGCGAGGCGUGGACCAUGUACUUAGUGAACCGCGACGGCAUAGGUCGGCCGGUGCCCGUUCCGGCUUCGCUUGCACUGGGCCGGCAAGCAAAGCUACUUUGAGCACUACAAACGCUGAUGUUUGUAAUGUACUCAUCACCAUGACAGUAUACCGAAGGUCCCUUGAACUUGUGUUCCGCUCUGCGAACACGCUUCACACCAGUAUCACUGUAAGUAAUACUCGGGUACAGUUGAUCGAAGAAAACAGAAAACGGGAAAAAAAGAAUAUCCUUGAUUCAAGAAAAACGGAUAACGUGAAAAGGAAGAUCCUUGAUUGAUGAAAAACAGAAAACGUGAAAACAAAAGAAUAUCCUUGAUCAAGGCCACAGACUUGAGUAAUCAGAGCCACAUGGAGAGAAAAGCUCUUGUAAAAGACUUCCCAUGACGAUGGGACAUUUCUUCCGAGAUUUCCAGUGUCCUUCACCCGUUGGCGCUGGUAAUGGCAUGCAGUAUGCCAUGCAUGCAAUGAGCCUAUGAUGUGCUCCACUGCACCAUAGACACUGGUGUAGGCGCAUAUUCAACAUACUGAACUUGCCUCGGACAAGCAGAAUGUUAUUUCCCAGCAGCAGACUGGAUGGGCCUCAGUCGAUCAAAAUAAUUUUUGUGUUUUUUUUUUGCCUAACGUAUAUCCUGACUACAUGGCUGUCUUAUUGUGUCCCCAUACAUUUCUUUCUAUGAUGCCGCAACAUUGCCCUGGCAUCUGAACAACCAUUUCCGUUUAAAAAUAUAUUGUAAAACAUGCAUGAUGCCUUUUGUUGGCUCUUAUGCCUGGAUUUCAUUGACCAUGGAUCCUUCCAUAAGUGACAUGCGAACUGUACCUAUUAUUAUGCAUGUUUUAGAACCCGUCGAUGGUUUCAGUCUUACAGACAACCGUUGUAUUCUUUUUAUAAAGUUUUGUUCUUCUAGGAAUGAGCCGUCACGCGGCUGUCCACGGCGGAUGGUUUCCGCCAGCUUCGAAUGCGUUGUACGUGUAUGGCGGUCCUAUCCCACCGGGCAGCUGCAUAGCCUCUUGGAGGCUUCUUUUUUCUGUAUUUGUCUGAUCUCUCAAUGCCGCUUGCCUUGCAUGUCUAUCAUUGCUGCUGUUUGUUGAUGCAGUAUGCUCUUUGCCUGCUGUGCAUAAGCCGUAUUAAACUUGCCGACUGUGGACGGACAUCAGCCUGUCAUUUCCUCUGUGCAUUGCCAGCAUAAUACUUCAGAAGUGUGUUGUCUUUCAAUGAACUCCACGCUCGCCCGUGUGCUACUCUGCAUCAUAUUCACUUGCUCAAAUAGUGCUCAGAUAGCGCUCGAAUAAUGCUCAGAUAGCGCUCGAAUAGUGCUGAGUGCAUGCCGUCCAUUGCAUCGGCCGCUGGAAUGUGUUCUAUAGUUCCACUUACACGUCUUGUUCUUUGGCACCCCAGGGUAUGCAGGCCUUAGAGCUAUGGACUUUUGAUGAUCAUGAUGAUGAUGGUGAUAACCUACCGGUGUUGAUACUUGUUAUAUCAUGUGACCAUUGUCAUGUCAUGUGACCAUUGUAUUGCCAUGCGACCAUUGUCAUGUCACGUGACCAUUGUCAUGUCAUGUGACCAUUGUCAAGUCACGUGACCAUUGUCAUCAGUACAACCAGCAUGGCAACUCGCAGGAAUAGACGACUCAGAAUGUGCAGUGCCUGUGCG